GGUUAAGUGACUAAGCGUAGACGGUGGAUGCCUUGGCAGUCAGAGGCGAUGAAGGACGUACUAACCUGCGAAAAGCGAUGGUGAGCUGGUAAGAAGCAUUUGAGCCAUCGAUGUCCGAAUGGGGAAACCCACCUGCAUAAGCAGGUAUCUUAGCGUGAAUCCAUAGCGCUAAGAGGCGAACUCGGGGAACUGAAACAUCUAAGUACCCGAAGGAAAAGAAAUCAAUUGAGAUUCCGGCAGUAGCGGCGAGCGACCCCGGAGCAGCCCUUAAGCGGCUUAGGCGUUAGGUGAACAGGUUGGAAAACCUGGCAAUAAAGGGUGAUAGCCCCGUAACCGACGGCGCCUUAGGCGUGAAAACGAGUAGGACGGGACACGUGAUAUCUUGUCUGAACAUGGGGGGACCAUCCUCCAAGGCUAAAUACUCCUGACUGACCGAUAGUGAACCAGUACCGUGAGGGAAAGGCGAAAAGAACCCCUGUGAGGGGAGUGAAAUAGAACCUGAAACCGUCUACGUACAAGCAGUGGGAGCCCCAUCACUAAGACACUUCAUCUUAGUGAGACGCUAUCACUUUGUUGACUGGGUUAACCACGCGCAGCGUGGGUCAACCACCCAAUCAAGCAGAGGUGACUUAGUGAUGGGGUGACCGCGUACCUUUUGUAUAAUGGGUCAGCGACUUAAUGUAAGUAGCCAGGUUAACCGCAUAGGGGAGCCGUAGGGAAACCGAGUCUUAACUGGGCGACAGUUGCUUGCAUUAGACCCGAAACCGAGUGAUCUAGCCAUGGGCAGGUUGAAGGUUGAGUAACAUCAACUGGAGGACCGAACUCACUAACGUUGAAAAGUUAGGAGAUGACCUGUGGCUAGGGGUGAAAGGCCAAUCAAACUCGGAGAUAGCUGGUUCUCCCCGAAAGCUAUUUAGGUAGCGCCUCGGACGAACACUACUGGGGGUAGAGCACUGUUAAGGCUAGGGGGUCAUCCCGACUUACCAACCCUUUGCAAACUCCGAAUACCAGUAAGUGCUAUCCGGGAGACACACGGCGGGUGCUAACGUCCGUCGUGGAGAGGGAAACAACCCAGACCGCCAGCUAAGGUCCCCAAGUUAUCGCUAAGUGGGAAACGAUGUGGGAAGGCUCAGACAGCCAGGAUGUUGGCUUAGAAGCAGCCAUCAUUUAAAGAAAGCGUAAUAGCUCACUGGUCGAGUCGGCCUGCGCGGAAGAUGUAACGGGGCUAAGCGAUACACCGAAGCUGCGGCAAUGUCCUUAUGGAUAUUGGGUAGGGGAGCGUUGUGUAAGCUGUUGAAGGUGUGCUGAGAGGCAUGCUGGAGGUAUCACAAGUGCGAAUGCUGACAUGAGUAACGAUAAAGGGGGUGAAAAACCUCCUCGCCGGAAGACCAAGGGUUCCUGUCCAACGUUAAUCGGGGCAGGGUAAGUCGGCCCCUAAGGCGAGGCCGAAAGGCGUAGUCGAUGGGAAACGGGUUAAUAUUCCCGUACUGCUGCUUACUGCGAUGGGGGGACGGAGAAGGCUAGGUGGGCCUGGCGAUGGUUGUCCAGGUUCAAGUGCGUAGGCUGAUUUCUUAGGCAAAUCCGGGAAAUCAAGGCCGAGACACGAUGUCGAGCCACCAAGGUGGUGAAGUCAUUGAUGCCAUGCUUCCGGGAAAAGCCUCUAAGCUUCAGGUAAGUAGGAACCGUACUCCAAACCGACACAGGUGGUCGGGUAGAGAAUACCAAGGCGCUUGAGAGAACUCGGGUGAAGGAACUAGGCAAAAUGGUACCGUAACUUCGGGAGAAGGUACGCUGCCCACGGUGAAGUCCCUUGCGGAUGGAGCUAUGGGCAGUCGCAGAUACCAGGUGGCUGCAACUGUUUAUUAAAAACACAGCACUGUGCAAAAUCGAAAGAUGACGUAUACGGUGUGACGCCUGCCCGGUGCCGGAAGGUUAAUUGAUGUGGUUAUCGCAAGAGAAGCCAUUGAUUGAAGCCCCGGUAAACGGCGGCCGUAACUAUAACGGUCCUAAGGUAGCGAAAUUCCUUGUCGGGUAAGUUCCGACCUGCACGAAUGGCGUAAUGAUGGCCACGCUGUCUCCACCCGAGACUCAGUGAAAUUGAAAUCGCAGUGAAGAUGCUGUGUACCCGCGGCUAGACGGAAAGACCCCGUGAACCUUUACUACAGCUUGGCACUGAACAUUGAGCCUACAUGUGUAGGAUAGGUGGGAGGCUUUGAAGCGGCGACGCCAGUUGCUGUGGAGCCAUCCUUGAAAUACCACCCUUGUAUGUUUGAUGUUCUAACUUAGCCCCGUUAUCCGGGGUGAGGACAGUGCCUGGUGGGUAGUUUGACUGGGGCGGUCUCCUCCCAAAGUGUAACGGAGGAGCACGAAGGUGGGCUAAUCACGGUCGGACAUCGUGAGGUUAGUGCAAUGGCAUAAGCCCGCUUAACUGCGAGAGUGACGGCUCGAGCAGGUACGAAAGUAGGUCAUAGUGAUCCGGUGGUUCUGAAUGGAAGGGCCAUCGCUCAACGGAUAAAAGGUACUCCGGGGAUAACAGGCUGAUACCGCCCAAGAGUUCAUAUCGACGGCGGUGUUUGGCACCUCGAUGUCGGCUCAUCACAUCCUGGGGCUGAAGUCGGUCCCAAGGGUAUGGCUGUUCGCCAUUUAAAGUGGUACGCGAGCUGGGUUUAGAACGUCGUGAGACAGUUCGGUCCCUAUCUGCCGUGGGCGUUGGAUGAUUGAGGGGAGCUGCUCCUAGUACGAGAGGACCGGAGUGGACGAACCGCUGGUGUUCGGGUUGUGUCGCCAGACGCAUUGCCCGGUAGCUAAGUUCGGCACAGAUAAGCGCUGAAAGCAUCUAAGCGCGAAGCUGGCCCCGAGAUGAGUCAUCCCUAGAGCUUCGAGCUCUCUAAAGGGUUGUUCUAGACGAGAACGUUGAUAGGCAGGGUGUGUAAGCGCUGUGAGGCGUUGAGCUAACCUGUACUAAUGGCCCGUGAGGCUUAACCAU
rnacentral:rRNA from 1 species